GUGAACAAGACGUUUAUUCUGCUUCGAGUCGUCCUAGAAGCAAGUUCCUAAAAGUUUCAAAAGAGGAGCGAUCCAGAACAGUAUAUAAACUCCUAACUAAUCACGAUAAUGGAGAUCGUCUACAUCAUUUUAAACAACAUAUUCUCGGCACUCGUGCCAGGCUCAAUUAUUAAUAAAGGGAGAUGGCACUAUUUUCGCUAGUACUUGACAGUAGACGGAUUCUAUAUAUACAUGAAUACGUAUAUAUAUACAUAUAUAU